UCUCAACCUUCCUAAUGCUGCGACCUUUGAA
rnacentral:piRNA from 1 species